CGGAGGGUGCAAGCGUUAUCCGGAUUCACUGGGUUUAAAGGGAGCGCAGGCGGACCUGUAGGUCAGUGGUGAAAUACCUGAGCUUAACUCGGGAACUGCCAUUGAUACUAUCGGUCUUGAAUGUUGUUGAGGUUUGCGGAAUGGGUCAUGUAGCGGUGAAAUGCAUAGAUAUGACCCGGAACACCUAUUGCGAAGGCAGCAGGCUAAACAAAUAUUGACGCUGAGGCUCGAAAGCGUGGGGAUCAAACAGGAUUAGAUACCCUGGUAGUCCACGCCCUAAACGAUGAUUACUCGACAUACGCGAUACACUGUGUGUGUCUGAGCGAAAGCAUUAAGUAAUCCACCUGGGAAGUACGACCGCAAGGUUG
rnacentral:rRNA from 1 species